rnacentral:rRNA from 1 species
UACGUAGGGGGCUAGCGUUGUCCGGAAUCAUUGGGCGUAAAGCGCGUGUAGGCGGCCCGGUAAGUCCGCUGUGAAAGUCGGGGGCUCAACCCUCGGAUGCCGGUGGAUACUGCCGGGCUCGAGUACGGAAGAGGCGAGUGGAAUUCCUGGUGUAGCGGUGAAAUGCGCAGAUAUCAGGAGGAACACCAAUUGCGAAGGCAGCUCGCUGGGACGUUACUGACGCUGAGACGCGAAAGCGUGGGGAGCAAACAGG